CAGCAAAGAAUCGGUAAGACUCCACCUCAUUCGGAGUGCAGCCGAGUCUAUGAGUCAUCGUGUCAGAGUUUUGCUAAAGACUUAUGGGUAAGCCGGUAACCUAUCCUAUUUGAUGUCAAGUAAUCUUAGAGGCGUUGUAGACAGGGGUUCAUUUUGUAUAGUAUGUCUGAGGCCUUGACGGCCUACAUGUAUUCAUGUUUUAAGAAAAAUGGUUCAGUGAUACAGUAUUUCCAACCUACCGUUGUACAUUAUGAGUUGUGGCCAUGUUGGCCCAUGAUAGUUACAUAAGAAGAAAAAAAAUGAGUUAGAGCGGUUCGCUCGGACUAGUACGACGCCAAGUGCCAGCCACGCCUCCCCAGGUUGGGGCGUGACAAUUACAAAGGCAGUCGUUCUGCUGAUAAGGCUUCACGAGAAGUUAUGGAGUUGUUCCCUUAUUUGCUUGGAUGUUCCUAUAAUCAACUUUUCUUUAAGUUGAAGGAAUUAACGAUUCAGAAUAUGCAAGGGCAUGAAAACAAAACGUAAGAUUUUGCAGUCACUAUUUUUACUGUUUUGGACUGAUGGACCUUUUCUGAUAUGUGUUUUUUUUAUUACUGUAUCAAAUUUCAGUUUUGAUCAUUACUUUAGGGUUCACUGCUCGCUUUUUCAAGUGGAUAAGCCUUAGAAGAUGAUGUGUUAGCCUUGGAAGAUGAUGCAAGGGAAUCAAAAGCGUAGCUAAUCAUAUUUGUACUCGAGGCCUUUGCUGCAUUAGUUAGCCAUUAGUUUAGAUAAAUAGUAAUCCACUUUUUUGUGAAUUUCUAUAUCAAGUCAAUCCUACGUGGGUGGCUAGAAUUGCACAGAUGGAAAUUGUGGUUGGAGAUACUUUGGGUUUUAUUUAUUAACUGAUCAGAAGGCUUUAGAAGAUUUGAAAUA